GUAGGUGGCAAGCGUUAUCCGGAAUUAUUGGGCGUAAAGAGGGAGCAGGCGGCAGCAAGGGUCUGUGGUGAAAGCCUGAAGCUUAACUUCAGUAAGCCAUAGAAACCAGGCAGCUAGAGUGCAGGAGAGGAUCGUGGAAUUCCAUGUGUAGCGGUGAAAUGCGUAGAUAUAUGGAGGAACACCAGUGGCGAAGGCGACGAUCUGGCCUGCAACUGACGCUCAGUCCCGAAAGCGUGGGGAGCAAAUAGGAUUAGAUACCCUAGUAGUCCACGCCGUAAACGAUGAGUACUAAGUGUUGGAUGUCAAAGUUCAGUGCUGCAGUUAACGCAAUAAGUACUCCGCCUGAGUAGU
rnacentral:rRNA from 1 species